GACGAACGCUGGCGGCGUGCUUAACACAUGCAAGUCGAACGGAAAGGCCCUGCUUUUGUGGGGUGCUCGAGUGGCGAACGGGUGAGUAACACGUGAGUAACCUGCCCUUGACUUUGGGAUAACUUCAGGAAACUGGGGCUAAUACCGGAUAGGAGCUCCUGCUGCAUGGUGGGGGUUGGAAAGUUUCGGCGGUUGGGGAUGGACUCGCGGCUUAUCAGCUUGUUGGUGGGGUAGUGGCUUACCAAGGCUUUGACGGGUAGCCGGCCUGAGAGGGUGACCGGCCACAUUUGGACUGAGAUACGGCCCAGACUCCUACGGGAGGCGGCAGUGGGGAAUAUUGCACAAUGGGCGGAAGCCUGAUGCAGCAACGCCGCGUGCGGGAUGACGGCCUUCGGGUUGUAAACCGCUUUCGCCUGUGACGAAGCGUGAGUGACGGUAAUGGGUAAAGAAGCACCGGCUAACUACGUG
rnacentral:rRNA from 1 species